AUUGAACGCUGGCGGCAGGCCUAACACAUGCAAGUCGAGCGAGUGGCGGACGGGUGAGUAAUUUCUGGGAAACUGCCUGAUGGAGGGGGAUAACUACUGGAAACGGUAGCUAAUACCGCAUACCAUCAGAUGUGCCCAGAUGGGAUUAGCUUGUAGGUUGGGUAACGGCUCACCAAGGCGACGAUCCCUAGCUGGUCUGAGAGGAGGACCAGCGACACUGGAACUGAGACACGGUCCAGACUCCUACGGGAGGCAGCAGUGGGGAAUAUUGCACAAUGGGCGCAAGCCUGAUGCAGCCAUGACGCGUGUAUGAAGAAGGCCUUCGGGUUGUAAAGUACUUUCAGCUGGGAGGCGUUACCCGCAGAAGAAGCACCGGCUAACUCCGUGCCAGCCGCCGCGGUAAUAC
rnacentral:rRNA from 1 species